ensembl:lncRNA novel transcript
CCACCAGAGUUGUAAACAUACAUGUGUGUACGUGCACACAGAGGCACACACCGUAUGGUGUGUGAUUUCAGAGCAAGUGUUUGGAACCAGACCUGGAUAUAAAUCCUGCUUUCACCAACUUUGGCUGCAUCAAUGCCUGCCCAGGGCCUAGUCUGCAAAGGCCCUCCAAAGGGAUUCUCCUUUCCAUCUUCUCCCCACUGUCUCACUAUGUGACCUUGUCCAGCUGAAAAGCAGAUGGAGCAAAACGCUGCCGCGCUGCCUCCUGAAUGCCUGCUCAGUGUCAGAUCCACGCCAAGCACCUCACCUACAUCGCUGCAUUUAAUAACAGCCACCUAUGAGAUGGGCGCUAGUGGCACUCCCACUGCUAUCAGGACACAGAAUCCAUUCACAUGAAA